rnacentral:rRNA from 1 species
CACGCCGUAAACGAUGGGCACUAGGUGUGGGAGGUGUCGACUCCUCCCGUGCCGAAGCUAACGCAUUAAGUGCCCCGCCUGGGGAGUACGGCCGCAAGGCUAAAACUCAAAGGAAUUGACGGGGGCCCGCACAAGCAGCGGAGCAUGUGGUUUAAUUCGACGCAACGCGAAGAACCUUACCUGGGCUUGACAUGUGCCUGAUCGCCAUAGAAAUAUGGUUUCUCUUCGGAGCAGGUUCACAGGUGG